AUGAGCAGUGGAAAAGGAAGAGGUGCAAGAGUGAGAGGUGGUGGACAGGGUAGAUGGAGAAGAAGAGGAAGAGGAGAUGGAGAAAGAGCAAGAAGAGCUGAAGAUGUCGGAGAAAGAGAAAGAAGAGCUAUGGGUGUAGGAGAAAGAGAAAGAAGAGCUAUGGAUGCAGGAGAAAGAGAAAGAAGAGCUGAGGAGGUAGGAGAAGGAGAAAGAAGAGCUGAGGAGGUAGGAAAAGGAGAAAGAAGAGCUGAGGAGGUAGGAGCAGGAGAAAGAAGAGGUGAGGAUGUAGGAGUAAGAAGAACUGAAGAUGUAGGAGAAGGAGCAAGAAGAGCUGAAGAUGUAGGAGAAAGAGAAAGAUGAGCUAUGGGUGUAGGAGAAAGAGAAAGAAGAGCUAUGGGUGUAGGAGAAAGAGAAAAAAAGAGCUAUUCUUGCUGAAGAUGUAGGAGAAGGAGCAAGAAGAGCUGAAGAUGUAGGAGAAGGAGCAAGAAGAGCUAAAGAUGUAGGAGAAAGAGAAAGAAGAGCUAUGGGUGUAGGAGAAAGAGAAAGAAGAGCUGAGGAGGUAGGAGCAGGAGAAAGAAGAGCUGAAGAUGUAGGAGCAAGAGAAAGAGGAGCUGAGAUGUAGGAGCAGGAGAAAGAAGAGCUGAGGAUGUAGAAGAAGGAGAAAGAAGAGCUGAGGAUGUAGGAGAAUGAGAAAGAAGAGCUGAAGAUGUAGGAAGAGGAGAAGAUAGAGGAGUAGAGGGAGAAGAGAUGGAUAGAUUGGAGGGCAAUGGUAUAGUGGAAUGAGAUGAGUAGAAAAUAUAAGAGGUGGACAGGGAGGAAGAGGAGGGCAAGGUGUAAGAGGAGGGAGGAGAGGUAGAAGGAAAGGGUACACGUGUGUUUCAAAUGAAAUCAGAGCCACACUUAUUGACCAUGUCAUAAAUCAUGGUCUCUCACUGAGAGAAGCUGGGCAGAGAAUUCAGCCCAAUAUAAACAGAUCCACAGUGGCUUCAGUUAUCUGCACAUUUCAGAGGGAAAACCGUUAAGUAACUAUAUGAUUCUACUUCUACAAUGAGAGUCCAUGUAGUCUCGUUUGACAUAGGUCUAGAUUUCUACAGUAAAUGUUCCUGCUUGUCCAAACAUUUUUCAGAUUUGAAGUUAAAGAACAUUCAGGUGGAUGAACAAGAGUUUUUUUCAGUUUAACAAGAGCAUGCCAUUGUUGACAUGGUGGUCCAGAACAACACCCUCUGUCUCAAAGAAAUUCAGCAAAGAAUAACACAGGACAAUCAACUGUUCAACAAUAUCCACCAAUGCAUUCUCUCCACAAUUGAUCGUUUUCUAAGGAGAAAUGCGAUCCGAAUGAAGCAAGUCUACAAAGUGCCCUUUGAGAGGAACUCUGUUAGAGUGAAGGAGUUGNGAGAAGCUGGGCAGAGAAUUCAGCCCAAUAUAAACAGAUCCACAGAGGCUUCAAUUAUCUGCACAUUUCAGAGGGAAAACCGGUAAGUAACUAUAUAAUUCUACUUCUACAAUGAGAGUCCAUGUAGUCUCGUUUGACAUAGGUCUAGAUCUCUACAGUAAAUGUUCCUGCUUGUCCAAACAUUUUUCAGAUUUGAAGUUAGAGAACAUUCAGGUGGACGAACAAGACUUCUUUCAAUUGAACAAGAGCAUGCCAUUGUUGACAUGGUGGUCCUGAACAACACCCUCUGUCUCAAAGAAAUUCAGCAAAGAAUAACACAGGACAAUCAACUGUUCCACAAUAUCCACCAAUGCAUUCUCUCCAAAAUUGAUCGUUUUCUAAGGAGAAAUGCGAUCCGAAUGAAGCAAGUAUACAAAGUGCCCUUUUAGAGGAACUCCGUUAGAGUGAAGGAGUUGCGAUUCCAGUUUGAUCAAGUAUGUGCAGCCCAAUUACUGCACUUUUACUGCCAACACAAAGAUAUAUUUUUCCUGAACUUUAAGUGUGUCCAUAAACUAUUCCAUGCUACUAUGUGAAAAGAUUUAGGCAUAUCUAUGUAUACUGCUGCUUCAAAGUGUGAACUCAAACUUCAGCAACAAUUUCACAGCAGUAUUGACUGCAAUCAAUGACAUUACUGUAAAACACUAACUUACUGUAUUGUACCUUGUGGUGUUUUUAUUCUAGAGAAUCUUGGAGUUGGAUAGCAGUGCAACUCAUGAGUACCUGUAUAUUUAUGAAGCAGGCUUCAGUAUUCACAAAAAAAGGAGAAGAGGGAGAAAUGUGAUUGGCCAUCGUGCUACAGUCAAUGUCCCUGGACAACGAGGAGGCAACAUCACUCUCUGUGCCACAAUUUCUACAACUGGUGUUGUUGCACACAGUGCUGUCUUGGGACCAUACAACACAGCAAGGCUCCUAUGUUUUUUAAACCUCCUCCGCAAAUGGUGCGGAAUUUUGUAGUUGUUUGGGACGAUGUCCAAUUCCACCAUUCAGCACUAGUGCGUGAGUGUUUUGAGAAUCACCCACAUUUCAGGUUGGUGUUCCUUUCACCAUAUUCUCCUUUCCUGAAUCCAGUUGAGGAAUUCUUCUCCUCUUGGAGAUAGAUAGUACAUGAUUGCAACCCUUACAACCAAGUAAGUCUUCAAGCGAUGGAAGAGCCCUGUGGAGAUACUGGGGCACAAGCAUGUCAAGGAUGGAUACAGCAUUCAAGGCACUUUUUCCCACGAUGCAUGACUCAUGAAAAUAUUUGCUGUGAUGCUGAUUAAAAUCUCUGGCCAGAUGUAAUUGAGAGGUAUGAUCAAUAAAAUAAUUAAUUCAAUGAAUGCA
ensembl:lncRNA